GAGAGAAUGAUGACCCUGGUUGAUGGUUUGAUGGUGAUUUGACGUCACGAUUGAGCUUAAGUUGCUCAUUAAAACAUGAUUAAGAAUGUUUUGAAAUGAUAAUAAUAAAAUUGAAAUUUUAAAAUUUGUGACAAGACAUAACAGAGAAGCUGCGGAAUUGCAGUCUGCAGAGGAAUUAUGUGAACAAAAGCCUACUUCCUGCCCUAGCUAAGCUAGCCUGCCCUACACAGACUUCUUUUAUUAUCCAAAAACAAAUGAAUCACCCAAUUUCACUUCUAUCUUUCUCACGAACACCUUCCCUCCACGGCUCCGUCUGCGACGACCCUCAUCUUCUUCCUGGCUAGUUGAUUUCCAUUUCGACCUUCUUCGUCUCCUUGAAGUUGGACUCUGUGCGAGAGUAGUGUAUAGGGUUCCUUCUGUACCAGUCCCACAUCGGAUAAGCGUCGACAAGCUAUAAUGUGUAUAUAGGACUAGUGCACCGCUAAAGUCGUCCCUUCGGGGACAUCCGAUAAAAUUGGAACGAUACAGAGAAGAUUAGCAUGGCCCCUGCGCAAGGAUGACACGCACAAAUCGAGAAAUGGUUCAAAUUUUUUUGCCAAAAAUCAUCCCCGUCUUUCAUCCGCUCUUGGUUUUCCAGAGAGAAGCAGCUUUGCGUGAGCGGUGGUGCUCUUCAUGUGAAGAACAAUCCUCCGAUUCGUGGUCUCCAUUGCCUGAAACUUGUGACUGUAGUUAAGUGAUUUUCGCUGUUUUGGUAGACACGGUCCUCCUUUAAAAAAUCUUUGACGUUCCUUCUCUCACUUCUCUCUUUCUAUUUACUUUCCUCAUGAAAAGAAUUGAGCAGCAGAGAACACGAAAUUUGUGCGUUUGCUCUUGGUACUGUAUGUUAAAAGCAUUGUAUUUGGCCUUGGUUUCAAGCUGUUGAUCUGAUAAAUUUCGGUUGCGGUGCUGCUUAGUUUGGGCAAUUACAGCUGAAGCUUUGUGCGAAGUAGUCCUGUGGUUCAACAUUUAUUAACAAGAGAAUGUUGACGAAUAGAUUAUGAGAAAAAUCAAAUUCAAGGAAUUGCUGAAACAAGUCAAAUUUCUGUUUACUCUGAGCAAAGUCUCUUGGUCUUGGCAAUUAUGAUGAGUCCCUUUGUUUUGAUACAAUACAAGUGCGUGUUAGCACAUAUAUGAAGCUCAAUGUGGAAUCUUGAUGGUU